GGCUUCAUACAUGCAGUCGAGCGAUUAGACCCUUCGGGGGUGUAUAAAGCGGCGAACGGGUGAGUAACAGGUGGAUAAUCUGCCUUCUGGUGGGGGAUAACGGCUGGAAACGGCCGCUAAUACCGCACGUGGUUGCGAGGGUUAUGGCCCUUGCAAAAAAAGGCGCUGAAAGGCGUCGCCAGGAGAUGAGUCCGCCCCCCAUUAGCUAGUUGGCGGGAUAACAGCCCACCAAGGCACCGAUGGGUAGCCGAGCUGAGAGGUUGAUCGGCCACACUGGGACUGAGACACGGCCCAGACACCUACGGGUGGCAGCAGUAGGGAAUAUUGGACAAUGGGCGAAAGCCUGAUCCAGCCAUGCCGCGUGAGUGAUGAAGGCCUUCGGGUCGUAAAGCUCUUUUCUGAGGGAAGAACCACCCGGGGAGGAAAUGCCCCGGGCCUGACGGUACCUCAGGAAUAAGCAACGGCUAACUCCGUGCCAGCAGCCGCGGUAAUACGGAGGUUGCAAGCGUUGUUCGGAAUGACUGGGCGUAAAGGGAGCGCAGGCGGUUGGGCAAGUCUAAAGUGGAAGCCCGGGGCUUAACCUCGGAAGUGCUUUGG
rnacentral:rRNA from 1 species